CUUCGUCAAACAUCAGCCCAGAUCGAACAAGCGCAAAGGCGCAAUGACGGCCCGCUGACACCGAGAGCGCCACGAGCGCGGCCAGAGCGUCGUCGUUGUCGUGCAAAUCCAGGUCCGGGUCGUCUGGGUGCGACUUUGCGGUCCAGGCACGCCCCGUCUGGCAACCAGGCACCACCGAUAGGGCGUCGAUGUCGCCCCAGCGUGAGAGCCGCAGCACGCCGACCAGUUCGAAAUAGGCCGUGGGUGCGAUGCCCUUGGCGCGCUCGGCGACGAGCACCGCGCGCGCCUUUGCAAAGUCAUGAGCAAACUCGACGGCACCGAGGGCCUCGGCGUCGACGCGGCCGUCGCACGUCACACACGCCAGCGACUUGUCCAGCCAUUGGCGAUCUUGUUCUGUCACAACCUCCAUCGCUUUUUUUCGGGCUCGCUUGGUCGUCCUCGGUUUGCGCCCCUUCUUUUUCCUUUGCGAAAAAAAUCGCGAAAAGCCUAUGUCUCUUUGUGGUCGCCCUUUUAAAAAGCCGCCCUCUUUGU
rnacentral:lncRNA from 1 species